AUUGAACGCUGGCGGCAGGCCUAACACAUGCAAGUCGAGCGGAUGAAGGGAGCUUGCUCCUGGAUUCAGCGGCGGACGGGUGAGUAAUUCCUAGGAAUCUGCCUGGCAGUUGGGGAUAACGUCCGUAAACGGGCGCUAAUACCGCAUACGUCCUGAUGUAGAAAGUGGGGGAUCUUCGGACCUCACGCUAUCAGAUGAGCCUAGGUCGGAUUAGCUAGUUGGUGGGGUAAAGGCCUACCAAGGCGACGAUCCGUAACUGGUCUGAGAGGAUGAUCAGUCACACUGGAACUGAGACACGGUCCAGACUCCUACGGGAGGCAGCAGUGGGGAAUAUUGGACAAUGGGCGAAAGCCUGAUCCAGCCAUGCCGCGUGUGUGAAGAAGGUCUUCGGAUUGUAAAGCACUUUAAGUUGGGAGGAAGGGCAGUAAGUUAAUACCUUGCUGUUUUGACGUUACCAACAGAAUAAGCACCGGCUAACUUCGUG
rnacentral:rRNA from 1 species